GUGAAGCGGCAACAGCUCAAAUUUGAAAUCUGGCCUCUUUGGGGUCCGAGUUGUAAUUUGUAGAGGAUGUUUCGGGUACCGCCUCGGUUUAAAUUUCUUGGAACAGAAUGUCAGAGAGGGUGAGAAUCCCGUCUUGGACCGGCGGUAGGGCCCAUGUGAAACUCCUUCGACGAGUCGAGUUGUUUGGGAAUGCAGCUCAAAAUGGGUGGUAAAUUUCAUCUAAAGCUAAAUAUUGGCCAGAGACCGAUAGCGCACAAGUAGAGUGAUCGAAAGAUGAAAAGCACUUUGAAAAGAGAGUUAAACAGUAUGUGAAAUUGUUGAAAGGGAAGCGCUUACAACCAGACUUGCGCGCGGCGGUUCCCCCUUCCUUUUGGUUGGGCUACUCCGUCGUGUCCAGGCCAACAUCGGUUCUGGGGGUCGGUUAAAGACCUUGGGAAUGUACCUACCCUUCGGGCGUAGACUUAUAGCCCAGGGUGUCAUGCGACCUCCCGGGACCGAGGAACGCGCUUCGGCUCGGAUGUUGGCGUAAUGGUUGUCAGCGACCCGUCUUGAAACACGGACCAAGGAGUCUAACAUCUAUGCGAGUGUUUGGGUGUCAAACCCGGAACGCGAAAUGAAAGUGAACGGAGGUAGGAAGCCUUUAGGCUGCACUAUCGACCGAUCCUGAUGUCUUCGGAUGGAUUUGAGUAAGAGCAUAGCUGUUGGGACCCGAAAGAUGGUGAAC
rnacentral:rRNA from 1 species